rnacentral:lncRNA from 1 species
AAAACAGAUGGCUGUGGAACGGUUUGUGAUUGCUAUUUUGAAAACCUGGUUGUAUAUUUUUAGCCUGCAAAACCUCUGCUUUGACACAUUUCCUCAUGGGGACACACUGCAGCUGCUGAGAGAAGGGAAGUCCCAGCACUGCUUUCUCACCAUGGAACAGCAGGAGAGGAAAGCCUUUUGAAUUCUAGCCAUGAUAACCCUAAAGUUUACAUGGCCACAGACUCCAGCUUUGCCA